UCAAGUAAAUAAAUUCUCGACGAAUUCAUACAUUUUUCAAUUAAACAAACUCUUGAAAUUUAGAUAAAUUCUGUACUGUACAAUUAAAUGUUUUCUUUUUAUCGUGCUUACUAUUAAUCACCGCAUUGAAAUCAGUGUUUCAUUACUGCUCUUACCCAGUUAGUGUUUCAGUGCUAUUAUAAUGUUCCUCUGGCUCGCAUGAAGUGUCCUUUGGCGAGUCCUUCACAGUGGCCUCUAUCAUUGAUAUCACAUCUGAUAUGAUGGUGCUCGUAGACAGAUCAAUACCGGAAACGUCGCUGAAGGAGUCCAUGUCCUCGGCGACACGGUACUUUCUGUACUUGAUAACAAACUGCAGCGUCAGGAAUAUCGACACGAUGAACAUCAGUAUCAAAAGCAAAGCGGUGACCAGAAUAAUACCUGCAAAAGCCAAAACGAGCGGCCGGGACACGACUGAGUAUUCGCUCCGAGAAUUUUCCUAGAAAGUUUCUCUUCCAAUCGAAUUCGACAGCCGCAGCGACAUUGGGACCCGAUCUCUGCAGCGAUUUCCGGUUUCGUCGCCGCCAGAACCGCGCCAUGACAGUCGGAGCUGUCCAGCCGAUUGUUGUACCACUCGCUUUUGUUAAGCACCUCCGAAAAUAUUCUGCCGCAGAGCUUGGUCUCCACUGCUUUUCCCUAAUUUGGCUCCGUACUUUGGUGGCGGCGUGUCGCAAAAACGAUAGCGAUUUCUGAUCCCGCCGAAGCACGAGCUGCUGCAAGGACUCCAAGGACUCCACGGUCCCCAUCCGGCUGCGUCACCUUCUACAUGUUCAGAAAAGUCUACAGAACCAUUUUACAUAAAGGAAUAUUCUUUUAACAAUCAUAAUUCAUUCGCAAGAAAAUCCUAAAGUGUACGGAAGUCUACGGAGCUCUGUGAACCGUGAAAUCUACCUUGGAAGGGAAAGGUUGGUAUGCAAGACAUCUUCACGUCCAUCAUGGCGCCAGUUAUCGCCUGGCUGACGUAUAUGAAGCAGUACUCGACGUAUUUCUCCGUGAAGAGGUCGCAGUCGAAGGUCAACGAGUGCUUGCCGGGGAUCGAUCUGGAUUCCGUGAUGUAGUGAAGACUCGAAGGUGAAGCAACGGAAGUGACGUCAGCCUUCAGCCGGCCAUAAACGCGAACGCGAUCGCCUUCGAGCCGGCAGGAAGGAUACUCGAAUAGAACGGCGACACCGCCGGGCCCUUCGCAAGGAUAUAUCGAUCUUGCGUGGACGGUCAACUUGAAUUCCUCCGACCAGUUCACCUGCAAUUAGAGAUGUACCCAUCGAGAUUGUUAACUUUCCGAAGUUAACAAUCGAAACAGACGCAAACGGUUCGUACAACCGUUCGAUACAAACGGCCGUAGAAAGUCUAAAAAAUUUUUCUCUCAACCGAAACUACCGCGGAUUCGAAGUUUGAAGUUUUCUCUUUCCAACGACAUCAAAAAAUUCAACGUACGAUUUUUCGUUAUCGUUUUAUUGCACUUCGAAUGCACCGCAAGUGAAAGAUGGUCCUUAUCCGAAGAAUGUCGGAUUCAAACGCCUGUACAUGGUUCAAAUAAUUUUUUACAGGGUUGAAACCAUCGUGAACUUGAAGUUCGAAGUUCCCUCUUUCAAACGACACCCGAAAAUACGAGACACGAUUUUUUCUCAUCGUUUUAUCGCACUUCGAAUGCGCCGGAAGUGGAGAACGGUGCUUUUUAAUGCGGGAUUUCGGAUUCGAACCACCGACUGCAACCACCGUGGAUUCAAUACACUCUUUAUAAUGAUUCUGCGAAGUGCAACAAUAAGCUUCGUUACCUUGAAAUACAAGCUAGUAUUCGGCGCAGUAGGGUUCGCGCUCGAAGCCUUCAAUUGAACCGCGUAGUUUCCGGGCAGUCCGAAGAAUUCGCAUCGAAAAAAAACAGUCUUUUCUGGAACAAAUCCCCGCACUUCUUCGUAGUAUAAAACCUGUAGAAUCGUAGAAAAAAGUGAUGUAUUAAUCCAGAGUUGUCAGUUCAUUUCUAAAGAAUUUUAAGCAUCGCUUCAAAGGCACCGCACAGUUUCUAAUAACAGUUCAGAGCUAUUUUAUUUCUGGUAUCGCUGUAGAGCUUUUAUAUCGUAUAACGUUCAGCAUUAUAAAGCGUCCAUAAAAUAAUCCGUUUUAUUUACUUGCGUAUGGGUAUUGUUAUGCAAAUAACAAGCGGCCACGCUGGCGCCGCAAUAAAUUAAUUGUAAAACGUAGACAGCUACAGGAACAUUCUCCGACGGGCUACAACUCGCGUCGUUGUAUCUCACAGUGGUCGUGACACGUUUGUUUGGAUAAGUUUCGAUCUCGUGGGAAUCUAAAAAAAUGUUCGGCGUCGGCCACUUCACGUCCACGUUUUUCGUCGUCUGCGAAUCGAAAUAGCCAUCAUUAUUUCCCUCGUGCUAAAUGAGCACGGUCGUUUCACGAAUUGAACUUAUUAAGAGACCGGUGCAAAUCCGGUGUUUUUUGCAAUGAAAGCGACUAUUAAGAUUUAAGCAAGUAUUUAAAUUUAAGAAAUAUU